rnacentral:tRNA from 1 species
GGGUGCAUAGCUCAGUUGGUUAGAGCGCGGCUCUUAUAAAGCCGAGGUCGAUGGUUCAAGUCCAUCUGCACCUA